rnacentral:lncRNA from 1 species
AAUAGUUUCGCUAUAUCUAACAACAAGGCACCAUAUUUAGAGCAAUGCAUUGCUAUCAUUAAAACGAAGAAGCCUUAUUUAUCGUUAUUAUUUGCUAUAAAUAAGAAGACGCCUUAUUUAUCGCAAUAUUUCGCUAUAUCUAACAACAAGACGUCUUAGUUAUCGCAAUGAUUUGCUCUAGACACCUUAUAUAUCGCCAUACUAACAAGACGCCUUAGUUAUCGCAAGAUUUUGAUUUUAAUAUAUAUUCCCACACUUCAGACUGUCUAUCAACUCCUGUGUACAUUAACCUCAAUUUCAGGUAUAGAGAUAUGGUCUUCUAUGACAUGUGCUUUUGACCAACCACAAGAAUUUGCGAUCAUCCGAUGUUCAGUACUUCAAUACUUUGAAUAAAAUCUUUUAUUGUAUAUCAUGGAUCUAUAUGCAAGUAUACAACGUAUACCAGACGUUUCUUAGAUUGAUUAUUUUUCUCCCUCUCUCUUUUUUUUAUAAAUCCCUUGUAUCUUGUAUCUGUAUG